rnacentral:tRNA from 2 species
GCUAGCUCGGUUGGUAGAGUGUUCCACUGGAAAUGGAGAGGUCCCUGGUUCAAUACCAGGAGCA